GUAGCGUUUCUGUCGGUGGCAGGCAUCGACGAGGUGUGAUUUAGAAGGCAUUUGUGAGUACGGCAUGGACUGCGUCGGAGCUGUGGACAGCAGCGGCCAGCAUUCCCCCGUCUUACUGGGCUGAGGCACUCAACACCACUACUCGUCUUCUCAACAUUUUGCCAACCAAGACACUUCGUUUUUCCACCCCUCACCAAGCCCUCUUCGGUACAGCUCCAGUCUAUAAUCAUCUUCGUGUCUUUGGUUGCAAAUGCUAUCCUAACUUGUUAGCCACUUCCCCCACAAACUUGCUCCUCGUUCUGUUUUGUGUGUCUUCCUUGGUUAUUCUGAUCAUCACAAAGGAUAUCGAUGCCUCGAUAUUCACUCCAACAAGAUCAUCAUAUCUCGGCACGUAGUCUUUGAUGAGACUUCUUUUCCCUUUGCCGAACAGUCAUCCACACCCACUGCCGAGGAUUUCGAGUUUCUCUUAGAUUCUCACCCUGCCGUGCCUGCUCCUAUUGGAUCAGCACGUUUCUGUCUCCUUCCUGCAGGUAUAACAGACGCUCCCGCACAGCCACGUGCGGCCCCUGUAGCAGCAGUCAGCAGUCCGUGCUCCAACGACCAGCUGCUGCCCCUGCCUACCGCCGCACCUACACCUGAUCCUGGCUCCGCCCGGACAAACGACGCUGCACCUGCAGUCGUUGCCGACCGCGCCCCGGAUACCCAGCCGGGUCCCGGCCCUCGACGCUUCGACGGAUUCGUCUACACUCGUCGUUCUGCGCCAGCUCCGACUGCUGAUGCUACUCCUUCACCGCAGGCGCCCGCUGCAACAACGCCCGUUGCUGCACCCGCUGCACCGACGCCUGUUGCUGCUUCUUCGCCUUCAGCAGCCGCAUCUCAGCUCCCACCCGGCGCUGUUCCUGUUCCCCCGGUCGUCAACCAUCACCGCAUGACUACUCGAGCAAAACUGGGGUUUCGACAGCCAGCUCUAUUUCACGCAGCACAACUCUCACCUGUGCCACGGACCUAUCGAGCUGCUCUUGCUGAUCCUCACUGGCGCCAGGCCAUGGAAGAGGAGUUCUCGGCUCUCUUGGGGAACAACACUUGGGAUCUUGUUCCUCGUCCUCCGGCUGCCAAUAUUGUCUCCGGCAAGUGGGUUUUCAAGCACAAGUUCCAUGCUGAUGGUUCUCUUGAGAGGUACAAGGCUCGUUGGGUUCUUCGAGGUUUCUCACAGCGUCCUGGCAUUGAUUUUGAUGAGACCUUCAGUCCGGUUGUGAAGCCUGCUACAGUGCGCACUGUGUUGACUCUUGCACUGUCUCGCAACUGGCCUGUUCAUCAGCUCGACGUCAAGAAUGCAUUUCUUCAUGGCACUCUGUCAGAAACAGUAUAUUGCUCCCAGCCUUCUGGUUUUACAGAUUCAGCUCACCCCGACUUCGUCUGCCGGUUGAAUCGUUCUUUAUAUGGUCUCAAACAGGCGCCCCGCGCCUGGUACAGCCGGUUUGCCUCGUUUCUGCUCUCACUUGGUUUUGUGGAGGCUAAAUCUGACACAUCUCUGUUUGUCUACUGUCGCGGCACUGACUUGGUGUAUCUCCUGCUCUAUGUUGAUGACAUUGUGCUCACAGCCUCAUCCACAGCUCUCCUACGGCGCAUCAUUGGAACUCUUCAGCAGGAGUUUUCCAUGAAGGAUCUCGGCGAGCUUCAUCACUUUUUGGGGAUGCAGGUUCAGCGCACUCCGAGUGGCCUGUUCCUCUCUCAGCGGCAGUACAUGGUUGACAUUCUGACUCGCGCUGGCAUGGCCGAAUGCAAGCCUUGCUCCACUCCUGUCGAUGUAAAUCCCAAGCUCUCAGGCACAGAUGGUACUCCAGCCACUGAUCCUACGGAUUUUCGCAGUUUGGCAGGGGCUCUCCAGUACCUGACUUUCACUCGACCAGAUAUUGCUUAUGCUGUUCAGCAGGUCUGCCUUCAUAUGCAUGAUCCCCGCGAGCCCCACCUCGCUGCUCUGAAACGGAUUCUUCGUUAUGUUCGUGGCACUCUCCACCUCGGAUUGUUACUUCGCCCCUCUGCGCAAACUGAGUUGGUGGUCUACUCUGAUGCUGAUUGGGCUGGUUGUCCAGAUACACGCAGGUCUACCUCGGGCUACGCUGUGUUCCUAGGAGACAGUCUUAUCUCCUGGUCUUCCAAGCGACAGAACACUGUCUCCCGCUCCAGUGCCGAGGCUGAAUAUCGUGCUGUCGCUAACGCUGUUGCCGAAGCUACCUGGUUGCGCCAGCUUCUUCUAGAGCUGCAUGCUCCUCUGCAGCGCGCUGCAUUGGUUUACUGUGACAACAUCAGCACUGUCUACAUGUCCUCUAAUCCGGUUCAGCAUCAGCGCACGAAGCACAUUGAGAUUGAUCUUCACUUUGUCCGCGAGCGGGUUGCUCUUGGUACUAUUCGUGUUCUUCACGUCCCUACCACUUCCCAGUACGCCGACAUCUUCACCAAAGGCCUGCCAUCUUCAUUGUUCACUGAGUUCCGGUCCAGUCUGAACGUCCAGGCUUUCGACGCUCCGACUGCGGGGGGGUGUUAGCAGUCUUGACUGCGCCAUGCAGGCAGUCCCAACAGGCUGGCGCCAUCUCUGUCCCUAUCAGCCACAUAAGGACAGCCAUCUGCUGAUUGGUUCUGAUUAGGACAGCUAGAGAUAUGUAGAGAUAUGAGGGGAUCCUGAUUGGUUAUGUUUCUAUAGCUAGAGACCCUGAUUGGUUAUGUUUCUAUAGCUAGAGAUGUGAGGAGAUCAUGAUUGGUUCUGUUUCCAUAAACCACACAGAUCUCCUCCCUAUAUAUAUGUAACCUUUAACCCUCAUAUCAUCAAUCAAUAUUCAGCAGUUCAUCUGCUUUCAUGGUAUCACGAGUCUAGGUUCAUUUCUACUCACCUUCCGCUGUCUAGCGCGCUCACCCGACGCUGCUACGGCUGCUGCUCCUGCGCGCCGUCCAUGGCUAGCCACCAGCCCCCUUCUCCCAGAGUCGACGACGCUGCUGCGGCAGAGGCUGCUCUGCGCGCGCAGCAGGAGAGGGCUGCUCGUCUUCAAACUCGCGAGCUCGCCCUUGCGCGUGCCCGCGAUGCUGAACGCGAGGCGACUGAGGCCACCAAGGAGCGCGACGCGGCCGCCGCCCGCAUCCGCGACGCUCUCGCCCGGGCCGCCCAGGCCCGCGCCGCUGCUGAUCCUUUGGACGAGGAGGUCAACAACGACGACGCCUCCACCAUUCGUGACGACGCUCCUGACGCUCGCACGCGUGAAGCUCUUCUCCUUCAUGAAGCCGCUGCGCUCAUCAAUCUGCACGCUCAGGCGGUUGCAGUUCAGAACAUCAGGGCUAUCAUUCCCGUCCUCCUCGACGUGUCGUCCACCCUCUACACCCGGUGGCGCGACGCCUUCCUGCUCGCCGUCGGCAAGUACUCCCUGGAAGGCCACGUUCUCACCGACGACUACACACCCUUCUCUCCAGAUUGGGUGCGGAUGGAUUGCGUCGUCAAGUCUUGGAUCGUCGGCACCAUCACCACCGAGCUAGCGGACGCCGUUCUCAUUCGCGACGUCUCCGCCCGCGCCGCGUGGCUCGCCAUAGAAUCCCAGUUCCUCGGGAACCGGGAGACUCGAGCUCUCUUCCUCGACGCGGAGUUUCGCAACUUCCGCCAAGGCGAUCUCUCCAUCACCGACUACUGUCGCAAGUUCAAAGGGAUGGCCGAUGCCCUCGGUGAUCUUGGUGAGCCCGUUCCCGACCGCACUCUCGUCCUCAACGUCAUCCGCGGCCUCAACGAACGUUUCAGCAGCAUCGGUCUUCAUCUUCGACGCGGGCGGCCUCUUCCUACCUUCUUGGAGGUACGAAACGAUCUUCUCCUCGAGGAACUUACCUUGGCACAUCACUCCUCGACAUCGGCCACCGCUCUGCUCGCCUCCGGACCACCUAAGGCGUCGCCGAACAACUCCAAGCCGAAGCAGCAGCCGCACCAGCAGUCACGGGGCAAACGUGCUGGGAAGAAGGGCGGGCGUUCGCAGCCAAACGGCGCAGCUCCCGGUGGCUUCUUCUCCGGCCCCUCUGUUGGUGGACAGUGGUCGUCCCCUAUCCGUGGACAGUGGCCGUCCCCCCACAAUCCGUGGUCCGGGUCCAUCCACAUGUGGCCCGGCCCGCGGGCUCCAGGCGCUCCUUCGACUCCUCGCCACGAUGCUCAGCAACAGCCACCCCCGCUGCCCCAGUCCCUACUCGCCGGUGCCCAGGGGCAGUGGUCUGGGAUCCAGCAGCCACUUCCACCAUGGCCUGGGAGCCAGCAACCGCCGCCAUUGACUACCCAGCAGCAGUGGCAAGCUCCACCGCCUGGCUUCUACAGCUCGAGCGCUCCUCUCCCUUCCUGGGAUCAGCAGGCGCUCCUCUCCGACUUCAGCACCAUGACACUGCAGCCCCCUCAGCAGCGUGAGUGGUACUUCGACUCGGGCGCCACCACUCACAUGUCCUCUGAUGCUGGUACUCUCUCCCAGUCCACUCCUACGCAGCUUCCUUGCUCUAUUAUUGUCGGCAAUGGUCAUUCCAUUCCUGUUAUUUCUGCUGGUCAUGCUGCUCUUUCCAAUUCCCUUCGUCUUAACAAUGUUCUUGUUGCACCUAAUCUCAUUAAGAAUCUUAUUUCUGUGCGCCAGUUCACUUCUGACAAUAAUUGCUCAGUUGAAUUUGACCCUUUUGGCUGCUCUGUGAAGGAUCUUCUCUCUCGGAAAGAGAUCGUCCGCUGUGACAGCUCCGGUCCUCUCUACCCGCUGCGGCUUUCAGCAUCCACCUUUCAUGCUGCUGUUUCACCAUCGCUCUGGCAUCAACGUCUUGGGCAUCCAGGUCGCGAAGUCAUGUCCAAACUAGCACACAUUUCGGGGAUUUCUUGUAAUAAGAAUGCUACUACUGAUACUUUGUGUCAUGCAUGUCAGUUAGGUCGUCAUACUUGUCUUCCUUUUAGUGUGUCAUCAUCCCGUGCCACUAAAAUUUUCCAGUUAAUUCACUGUGACCUGUGGACUUCUCCUGUGUUGAGUAUUUCUGGUUUCAAAUAUUAUCUGGUUAUACUUGAUGAUUACUCACAUUACCUAUGGACUUUCCCCCUACGCCUUAAGUCUGACACAUUUGCCACUCUUACUCAUUUCUUCUCCUAUGUGCAUACUCAGUUUGGCGUCCCCAUUCAAGGUGUUCAGUGCGAUAACGGUCGUGAGUUUGACAACUCUAGUACCCGCGCUUUCUUCCUCACCAAUGGUGUCCAUCUCCGGAUGUCAUGCCCCUAUACUUCGCCUCAGAACGGCAAAGCCGAACGCAUCAUUCGCACCAUUAAUGACGUUGUUCGCUCCCUUCUUUUUCAGGCCAGCAUUCCCCCGUCUUACUGGGCUGAGGCACUCAACACCACUACUCGUCUUCUCAACAUUUUGCCAACCAAGACACCCCGCCCCGCUCCGAUACCAUGAAAGCAGAUGAACUGCUGAAUAUUGAUUGAUGAUAUGAGGGUUAAAGCUUACAUAUAUAUAGGGAGGAGAUCUGUGUGGUUUAUGGAAACAGAACCAAUCAUGAUCUCCUUACAUCUCUAGCUAUAGAAACAUAACCAAUCAGGGUCUCUAGCUAUAGAAACAUAACCAAUCAGGAUCCCCUCAUAUCUCUACAUAUCUCUAGCUGUCCUAAUCAGAACCAAUCAGCAGAUGGCUGUCCUUAUGUGGCUGAUAGGGACAGAGAUGGCGCCAGCCUGUAGGGACUGCCUGCAUGGCGCAGUCAAGACUGCUAACAGUGCCAGUGGGAUACAACUUUUCACUGGCCUGUUCAUCAGCUGCUAUUUUUCUUUCCACAUAACACUCCGGUGGAACUACAAUUGGAUUUGUCGGUUAUGACUAUGUGCACCCAUUGCAAAAGAAGACAGAAAAGGCCAAAUGGCCAAUGCAAAUCAUGAUUUGUCAGUAGGGAAUAUUGACUAUGUAUUUUGAAGCUGGGUUGUGUUUGGUUCAAUCUACUAGGAGACCAGAGCAUUAAAAAUAAGAAAACAUUGUUAUAGGCUUAUAGCAUUGAAAUGGUCACCUUCAUCAACAAAAUUUUCAUAUGAACCGAUGAUGAUCUUCCACAAUCAUAUCAGAACAGCAGAGGCAUGAAAGGCAGUGGACGCAUCACUGGUAAUGGAAGAGAUAGUGUUGGUGCUUCUCUGUAUACUAGAGUUCAACCUCAGACAGACAUGGAAACACAAAUACAUGAGCUUGAGCAAGAAGCAUAUUGUUCAGUUCUUAGAGCAUUCAAGGCUCAAUCUGAUGCUAUAACAUGGGAAAAAGAAAGUCUCAUUACUGAGCUUAGGAAGGAGCUACAAGUAUCUGACAAGGAACACAGGGAGUUGCUAAACAAAGUUAAUGGCGAUGAUAUUAUUCGAAGAAUAAGGAAAUGGAGAGAGUCAACUGGUGGGCUUAUGAUUAAUUUGGUGAAUAAUUCUCAGCGUACACAUGACCCUAUUCCCAGCCCUACGACAUCUGCUCGCAAGAGGCAAAAGAUGUCUCAACCCAUUCUCUCUGCAUGUGUACCUGCACCAUCUGCUAUGCAUUCACAGCCUUUAACUGCACCGAUGCAACCAUCAUCUUCAGGAGCAAAAAAGGGAGCUCAACCCGGCACAAAAGUGAAGAAGACCAAACCAGGCCAGAAGAUACCUGGUGGCUCUGCAGUCAAAUCUAUGCCAUCUUCUGCUGGUCCUGGUGGGCGAGGAACUAUUAUCAAUAGGAAUAUGUCUGCUGGCCUUCCACCUGAAAGUUCACAAUUAAAUCCAUUAAUUGGUCGUAAAGUCAUGACUCGGUGGCCUGACGAUAAUAGCUUUUAUGAAGCUGAAAUAACUGACUAUGAUGCAUCAAAGGAUAUCUAUACACUGGUUUAUGACAUAAAUACAGCAGACGAGACAUGGGAAUGGGUUGACUUCAAGGAGAUGGCACCUGAGGAUAUAAGAUGGGAUGGCGAGGAGCCUGAUUUAAACCUUAUAGGUCGUGGUGCUCCCGUCCAUGGUAUGAAGUCAAGCAGUCGUGGUGGCCCCAUGUCAGGUACCGGAAGAGACAGAGGUCCCCAAAAGAACUCAUUCAAGAAAGAUUAUCCAUCACAAAACGGUAUUGGGAAGAAGAGUGUUGACUACAUAGAAAUUCUCCAUACAGAGACACUCAUAAAGGAGGUGGAGCGGGUUUUCAGUUCAGCCAACCCUGACCCCCUUGAGAUGGAGAGGGCUAAGAAAGCGCUAAAGGAGCACGAACAAUCAUUAAUUGAUGCGAUUGCAAGGCUUGCUGAGGCGUCUGAUGAUGAUCGUGUGCGAUCUUUGGAGUAUAACCGUGGAUGGAGGAACCAACAUGGAGGAAGAUAUGCGGAUGAUAUGACCAUGGACGGCCACAUGGCUGGAGAUGCAGAUGCCAUGUAAACCUGCCAAUGUGUACACAAAAUUCCUUCAUUAGCUUAUUUUUUGCCUGUUGUAAAAUCUUGACGCUAAUUUUUCUCUCUCUAGAUUUAGCCGUAGGUACUUCUGAUUGGUCCUAACCAAAGAAACAGUUAGGAUCACCACUCUGAUUGUUCAGCUUUUGUAGUAGAAUUACGCCCAGCUCAUCCUUUACACUGUAAAUUUAGAUUUGGAGCUGAUUUUGUCGGUCGCUAGACAUUUGAUAAGCAUCUGCCGUGGCCUGUUUGGUUUCCUAGUGCAAACGGAAGGCAUUUUUGCUAAUGUUGUACUACCUCCAUUUUUUUAUUUGACGCAGGUUGGUUCAAUUUUAUACUAAAAAAAUAUAAAAAAUCGGAGGGAGUAGCUAGUAAUGUUGUGUUAUAGCACAAAGGGUGUAAUAGGAUCAACUAUGGAUAGCUGUCGAAUACAGACAUGACUGGAUGCUCGGUUACAAAUACUAAUAAGAGGCUGUUUGGUUA